rnacentral:rRNA from 1 species
AACGAACGCUGGCGGCAGGCCUAACACAUGCAAGUCGAACGGUAACAGGCCGCAAGGUGCUGACGAGUGGCGAACGGGUGAGUAAUGCAUCGGAACGUGCCCAGUCGUGGGGGAUAACGCAGCGAAAGCUGCGCUAAUACCGCAUACGAUCUAUGGAUGAAAGCGGGGGACCGUAAGGCCUCGCGCGAUUGGAGCGGCCGAUGUCAGAUUAGGUAGUUGGGGGGGUAAAGGCGCACCAAGCCAACGAUCUGUAGCUGGUCUGAGAGGACGACCAGCCACACUGGGACUGAGACACGGCCCAGACUCCUACGGGAGGCAGCAGUGGGGAAUUUUGGACAAUGGGCGCAAGCCUGAUCCAGCAAUGCCGCGUGCAGGAAGAAGGCCUUCGGGUUGUAAACUGCUUUUGUACGGAACGAAAAGGCUCUGGAUAAUACCUGGGGCUCAUGACGGUACCGUAAGAAUAAGCACCGGCUAACUACGUGCCAGCCGCCGCGGUAAGAC